rnacentral:rRNA from 1 species
GAUGUUUUGGUUUUGGCGACGAUGAAGAACGCAGAGAAAUGCGAUAAUUAAUGUGAAUUGCAGAAUACAGUGAAUCAUCGAAUCUUUGAACGCACAUUGCGCCCGCCAGUAUUCUGGCGGGCAUGCCUGUCCGAGCGUCAUUUCAACCAUCAAGCCCCGGGCUUGUGUUGGGGACCUGCGGCUGUCCGCAGGCCCUGAAAACCAGUGGCGGGCUCGCUGUCACUCCGAGGGUAGUAGUAUUAUCUCGCUAAGGGCGUGCUGCGGGUUCCGCCCGCUAAACAGCCUUUAUAACCCAAGGUUGACCUCGGAUCAGGUAGGAAUACCCGCUGAACUUAAGCAUAUCAAAAGCGAGAAAAUAC